UGCUAAAUAAGUUUUUAAAAGAAUCGCUUGAAGAGGAGUGUUUAAAAGACUUAAGGAAUCUUCGAUGGUUAAUGCCAAUGUUUUAAAGUUGUUGUUUUUUAAAAACCACCUCUGGCUUAUAUAAUAUCGUAUAGAUUAUAGACGGUCCUUCACAACAGUAGAUAAUUAUGCCCUGCGCCUAUAAAAAUAGACCGUAAGGAUUUGGC